GCCUGGAUGGCUCAGUCGGUUAGGCGUCUGACUUAGACUCAGGUCACGAUCUCACAGUUUGUGGGUUCGAGCCCCGCGUCGGGCU
rfam:Felis catus isolate Cinnamon breed Abyssinian chromosome D2, whole genome shotgun sequence.